rnacentral:snRNA from 13 species
UAAUUUACCUGGGUGGGGGGAUCUCGCGAUCAAGAAGGCGGGACCCCAAUGGUGAGGCCCAUGCAUUGCAUUUUAGCAAGGGCAGACCUGUGUGGCAGCCUCGAGUUAAGGUUAGCCAACCUCUUACC